rnacentral:rRNA from 1 species
GACGAACGCUGGCGGCGUGCCUAAUACAUGCAAGUCGAACGCAGUGGGGACGGGUGAGUAACACGUGGGUAACCUCCCAUCAGAGGGGAUAACACUUGGAAACAGGUGCUAAACCGAUACUGAUGGAUGGACCCGCGGUGCAUUAGCUAGUUGGUGAGGUAACGGCUAACCAAGGCCACGUUGCAUAGCCGACCGUAGAGGGUGAUCGGCCACACGGUGCCUGAGACACGGCCCAGCCUCCUACGGUGGGCAGCAGUAGGGAAUCUGCGGCAAGGGACGAAAGUCUGACCGAGCAACGCAGCGUGAGUUAAGAAGGUUUUCGGAUCGUAAAACUCUGUUGUUAGAGAAGCGGUAUCUAACCAGAAAGCCACGGCUAACUACGUGCCAGCAGCCGCGGUAAUAC